UUCCGUAGGUGAACCUGCGGAAGGAUCAUUAAUGGAUUUUACAGAGGGUUGAUGCUGGUAGUUUAUCU
rnacentral:rRNA from 1 species